rnacentral:sRNA from 1 species
UGUGAAUACCCUCCUUGGGUGUUUCCUCCCUAGACUUCAGCCGCGCCGAGAGCGCGGUUUUUUUUAUCUUUG